rnacentral:rRNA from 1 species
CACGUAGGGCGCAAGCGUUGUCCGGAAUUAUUGGGCGUAAAGAGCUCGUAGGUGGUUUGUUACGUCUGCUGUGAAAACCUAGGGCUUAACCCUGGGCUUGCAGUGGAUACGGGCAGACUAGAGGUAGGUAGGGGAGAAUGGAAUUCCUGGUGUAGCGGUGAAAUGCGCAGAUAUCAGGAGGAACACCGGUGGCGAAGGCGGUUCUCUGGGCCUUGCCUGACGCUGGAGGCGCGAAAGCUAGGGGAGCGAACAGG